rnacentral:rRNA from 1 species
AGUGAACGCUGGCGGUAGGCCUAACACAUGCAAGUCGAACGGCAGCACAGUAAGAGCUUGCUCUUACGGGUGGCGAGUGGCGGACGGGUGAGGAAUACAUCGGAAUCUACUUUUUCGUGGGGGAUAACGUAGGGAAACUUACGCUAAUACCGCAUACGACCUACGGGUGAAAGCAGGGGAUCUUCGGACCUUGCGCGAUUGAAUGAGCCGAUGUCGGAUUAGCUAGUUGGCGGGGUAAAGGCCCACCAAGGCGACGAUCCGUAGCUGGUCUGAGAGGAUGAUCAGCCACACUGGAACUGAGACAAGGUCCAGACUCCUACGGGAGGCGGCAGUGGGGAAUAUUGGACAAUGGGCGCAAGCCUGAUCCAGCCAUACCGCGUGGGUGAAGAAGGCCUUCGGGUUGUAAAGCCCUUUUGUUGGGAAAGAAAAGCAGCAGGUUAAUACCCCGCUGUUCUGACGGUACCCAAAGAAUAAGCACCGGCUAACUUCGUG